rnacentral:ncRNA from 1 species
GGGGCUAUUAAGGAAGACAAGCAAAUUUAUAAAAAAGGAGGUUAAUCAUACCAAAAGCCACAUAUUAACAAAUAAAAAAUGUGGCAAUCCUAAGGGAAACCUUAAUAUAAGUACUUCCCGAACCAAAACAUUGUAGUAGGGAAAGGAAAGUAAAUCAACCGAGACUCCGAAAGUAAUGGUGAGUGAAAUCGGACCAGCCUAUCAAUAAUUUAAAAACUGAAAUUCCUUUCGAAUAAGAUUCCAUUUUCCCGUCCGAAGUAAGGCUUUGCACGGGAGCCGUAGAAGGUGUUAGCCCUGUAGGGGUUUAAAUUAUUGUUUAACAAGUACGAUGAGAGAUAACUUGUCGGAAUAAAGGGGAACCAUCCUCUAAGGGCUAAGUAUUAUAAAUUUAGCGAUAGUGAACAGUACUGUAAAGGAAAGUUGAAAAGAAAGUAGAUGACUAGUGAAAAGAUCCUGAAUUAGUAGCUCU